GCCUGGUUGAGAAGUUUGUGUAUUGAAAAUAAAGAGGUAUUUUAGAUGACAUUCUCCAACAUCAAAAGAGUCCAGGGGGUCGGAAGUAUUUAUUUAGACUACUUGCAAUCAAAAAAGUAUUCGAGUAUCUGUCUUUAUUCACACACAAUUUAUGCCGAUCGUAAAAAUUAAUAAUAUUUUUAUGAUAUUAGAUAAAAAUUAAAU
rnacentral:lncRNA from 1 species